AGGUGACAAGCUUGGUACAUGAUU
rnacentral:miRNA from 1 species